CAGUCGCCGCGGGAAUACGUAGGGUGCAAGCGUUAUCCGGAAUUAUUGGGCGUAAAGAGUGUGUAGGCGGUGCUCUAAGUUUGGUGUGAAAUCUCCCGGCUCAACUGGGAGGGUGCGCCGAAGACUGGAGUGCUCGAGUGUGGGAGAGGAAAGCGGAAUUCCUGGUGUAGCGGUGAAAUGCGUAGAUAUCAGGAGGAACACCUGUGGCGAAAGCGGCUCACUGGACCAUAACUGACGCUGAGGCACGAAAGCUAGGGGAGCAAACAGGAUUAGAUACCCCCGUAGUCCCUGUCUCUUAUAC
rnacentral:rRNA from 1 species